ACUUUUAAAGGAUAACAGUUAAUCCACUGGUCUUAGGA
rnacentral:tRNA from 2 species